UACGGAGGGUGCGAGCGUUAAUCGGAAUUACUGGGCGUAAAGCGUGCGCAGGCGGUUUGUUAAGCGAGAUGUGAAAGCCCCAGGCUCAACCUGGGAAUUGCAUUUCGAACUGGCAAGCUAGAGUCUUGUAGAGGGGGUAGAAUUUCAGGUGUAGCGGUGAAAUGCGUAGAGAUCUGAAGGAAUACCGGUGGCGAAGGCGGCCCCCUGGACAAAGACUGACGCUCAUGCACGAAAGCGUGGGGAGCAAACAGG
rnacentral:rRNA from 1 species